GAUGAACGCUGGCGGCGUGCCUAAUACAUGCAAGUCGAGCGAACAGACGAGGAGCUUGCUCCUCUGACGUUAGCGGCGGACGGGUGAGUAACACGUGGAUAACCUACCUAUAAGACUGGGAUAACUUCGGGAAACCGGAGCUAAUACCGGAUAAUAUAUUGAACCGCAUGGUUCAAUAGUGAAAGACGGUUUUGCUGUCACUUAUAGAUGGAUCCGCGCCGCAUUAGCUAGUUGGUAAGGUAACGGCUUACCAAGGCAACGAUGCGUAGCCGACCUGAGAGGGUGAUCGGCCACACUGGAACUGAGGCACGGUCCAGACUCCUACGGGAGGCAGCAGUAGGGAAUCUUCCGCGAGGGGCGAAAGCCUGACGGAGCAACGCCGCGUGAGUGAUGAUGGUCUUCUGAUCGGAAAACUCUGUUAUUAGGGAAGAACAAAUGUGUAAGUAACUAUGCACGUCUUGACGGUACCUAAUCAGAAAGCCACGGCUAACUACGUG
rnacentral:rRNA from 1 species